UGCCGCUCACGCCCGGUCG
rnacentral:sRNA from 1 species